UGCCAUCUAGUACUCUCUACACAUGGGAUCCUACAUCAACAUACAUUCAUGAACCUCCUUAUUUCAAGGACAUGACGAUGUCACCCCCCGGUCCACAUCCUGUGAAAGAUGCUUAUUGCUUGCUGAACUUCGGUGACAGUAUCACAACAGAUCACAUUUCACCUGCCGGAAGCAUUCACAAGGACAGUCCAGCUGCCAAGUACUUGAUGGAGCGUGGUGUUUCUCCGAAAGACUUCAACUCAUACGGGAGUCGCCGAGGAAAUGAUGAGGUUAUGGCAAGGGGAACAUUUGCAAACAUUCGCCUCGUUAACAAGUUCUUGAAAGGAGAAGUUGGUCCCAAAACCAUUCACGUUCCCUCUGGCGAGAAACUUUCUGCAUUUGACGCUGCCACGGUUAGUUACUUCAGAACCGCUCAUAGCUUGUGUACUACUUCAUGUAGGAGCUGCACUACAUAGACUUGUUCUUGUCAAAAUCAAGUAGAGUACGUUUCACUUAACUAAUAUUUUUCGCUUUGUUUGCAGAGAUACAAAAGCGAGGGGCAUGAUACUAUAGUAUUGGCAGGUGAAGAAUAUGGAAGUGGAAGUUCUCGUGAUUGGGCCGCAAAGGGCCCGAUGCUACAGGUUACUUCUCUAGGUCUUAGUUAUUAGUAUCAUCUGGUAAUAUUUUCCCCAUGAUAUUAAUAUUUCCUGGAACACUGUCAUGAUUGCAGGGUGUCAAAGCAGUGAUAGCGAAAAGCUUUGAGAGAAUUCACCGUAGCAACCUUGUCGGCAUGGGAAUUAUCCCCUUGUGUUUCAAGUCUGGGGAAGACGCAGAGACCCUCGGCUUGACAGGUCAUGAACGUUACACCAUCCACCUACCAAGCAAUGUGAGUGAUAUCAAACCCGGACAGGAUGUCACAGUGACGACAGAUACUGGCAAGUCAUUCACAUGCACGGUUCGCUUUGACACCGAGGUACAAAUAUAAGUUCCGUUGGUUCUUUUAAUCUUAUGCUUUUUUUUUAAUGUUGUAAAUUUUAGUUAUUGAUAUGCUUCCUGU
rnacentral:lncRNA from 1 species